GCCUGGUUGGUGCAGUGAGUAGCACGUGGCCAAAAGUUGUAUGUUCGCGUACCAUCGGUUUGCUAAACUUAUUUAACCAAGACUUAGUCUUGGUUCAAUUCCAAGACUAAGCU